AUUGAACUCUGGCGGCAGGCCUAACACAUGCAAGUCGAACGCGUGGCGGACGGGUGAGUAAUGUCUGGGAAACUGCCCGAUGGAGGGGGAUAACUACUGGAAACGGUAGCUAAUACCGCAUACCAUCGGAUGUGCCCAGAUGGGAUUAGCUAGUAGGUGGGGUUAUGGCUCACCUAGGCGACGAUCCCUAGCUGGUCUGCGAGGAGGACCAGGCACACUGGAAGUGAGACACGGUCCAGACUCCGACGGGAGGCAGCAGUGGGGAAUAUUGCACAAUGGGGGCAAGCCUGAUGCAGCCAGGCCGCGUGGAUGAAGAAGGCCUUCGGGUUGUAAAGUACUUUCAGCGGGGAGGCGUUACCCGCAGAAGAAGCACCGGCUAACUCCGUGCCAGCAGCCGCGGUAAUAC
rnacentral:rRNA from 1 species